rnacentral:rRNA from 1 species
AUUGAACGCUGGCGGCAGGCCUAACACAUGCAAGUCGAACGAUUGGCGGACGGGUGAGUAAUGUCUGGGAAACUGCCUGAUGGAGGGGGAUAACUACUGGAAACGGUAGCUAAUACCGCAUACCAUCGGAUUUGCCCAGAUGGGAUUAGCUAGUAGGUGGGGUAAAGGCUCACCUAGGCGACGAUCCCUAGCUGUUCUGAGAGGAUGACCGGCCACACUGGAACGGAGAAACGGUCCGGACUCCGACGGGAGGCAGAGUAGGGGAAUAUUGGACAAUGGGCGCAAGCCUGAUGAAGACAUGCGGCGGGGAGGAAGAAGGCCUUCGGGUUGUAAAGUACGUUGAGCGGGGAGGCGGUACCCGAAGAAGAAGCAACGGCUAACUUCGUGCCAGCAGCCGCGGUAAUUC